CGGCCAUAUCCGUGAAUCAAUAGACAAGGGAAGAAUUGGGACAACACACAUUCACACGAGCACACACUGCUAGAACCCAGCCGAGGAUCACCGUACGCUUUGCUCCGCUCAUCUCCUCCUCCGCGGAGCAAUUCCGUCGAACGCCUCGCGCGCGCACGCGCUCUCGCACCGCCCUCGGCCUUUGUCCCAUCGAAUGCCGUAGCGCUGUGGACGGGCGCGCGCGGCGGUGCCUGCCAUGGCUUCGCUCUGCCCCUUAUCAGCCGCGCCCGCUUUCCCGCGCGCUGCUCGACCUCGUGCCGCAAGCUUCAGGGGACCCGCUUCCUGGAGCGGCCUCGCGGCGACCGCGAGCAAUGCCUGUGUCUGUAGCUGUGGACUUCUGCCCACUGGAGGCUACGCGAGGCUGCGGUCGCGACUAAGGAGUCCCGUGCGCGCCAAGAUCGACGAGGCGGACAAGGGCACGGGCGCCGGUCUGGGCUUCCCCUCGCCACGCCGUAGGAAGCUACGCUUGCGCCUGCGACCACGGCUGCGCCUCUUGUGGUGGCGGCUCCGGCGGCUGUCGCCGCGGGAGCUCAUGACCGACGCCGGGGCCGCGCUGCGGCGCGCCGUUCGCCGCGUGCCUCCCGCGGCCGCGGCGCCGGUCGUCCUGGCGCUUCUCCUCGCCGUGGCGCGGCUCGCGCUGCCCAAGAACGUGGCCCGGGAGGUGGCCUACUCGGACCUCGUCGCGGGGCUCCGCGAGGGCGCCGUGGCCGCCGUCGCUUUCGAGGAGGACUCGCGCCGUAUCUACUUCAGCAAGAACGCUGGGGAUGAUGUUGGCUCCGACACGAACGAGACCGGUGAGAACGCUGCGGCGCCGGCGCCGAAGUGGCCGUACUACGCGCGGAGGGUGCCGCACGAUGAGGGCUUCUUGCUCGGGCUAAUGCGGGAUGGCCGGGUGGACUACCGUUCGUCGCCGCGGCCUGCUGGGAGGCUGCUCGUGGACAUGCUGAGCACGCUGCUCACGCUUUGGGUCUCGCUGGUGCCCGUGAUGUGGUUCAUACAGCGUCAGAUGUCUGGUGCGGGCGGUGCUGACAAGCGACGCAAACCGAGGAAGCAGAGGGUGGGCUUUGAUGAUGUUCAGGGCAUAGAUGAAGCCAAGGAGGAGCUUGUUGAGAUAGUGAGCUGUCUGCAUGGUUCACUGAAUUAUAAGAAGCUUGGAGCAAAAUUGCCCAGGGGUGUUCUGCUUGUUGGCCCUCCUGGAACUGGGAAGACUCUGCUAGCAAGGGCAGUUGCAGGAGAGGCUGGAAUUCCGUUUUUCUCUGUUUCUGCUAGUGAAUUUGUUGAAGUUUUUGUUGGACGAGGUGCAGCUCGGGUAAGGGAUUUGUUCAAGGAGGCCAAAGAAGCUGCCCCGUCAAUCAUUUUUAUUGAUGAACUUGAUGCCGUGGGUGGAAGUCGAGGUAGAAGUUUUAAUGAUGAGAGGGACCAAACUCUAAACCAGCUGCUUACCGAAAUGGAUGGUUUUGACUCGGACAUGAAAGUUAUUGUAAUGGCUGCUACUAACAGACCAAAAGCACUGGAUGCUGCUCUUUGUCGACCUGGCCGCUUCUCCAGAAAGGUUGUUGUUGGUAUGCCUGAUGUGGAGGGCCGCAAAAAGAUUCUGGAUGUUCAUCUAAGGAAUAUUCCUUUGGAAGAGGAUCACGGAAUAAUCAGUGAUCUGGUUGCUAGAGUAACCCCAGGGCUGGUCGGCGCAGAUCUAGCAAACAUUGUUAAUGAGUCUGCUCUACUAGCUGCACGAAGAGGUCGGAAUACUGUGUCUCGGGAGGAUAUUAUGGAUGCAAUCGAGAGGGAGAAAUACGGGGUCACUGGGAGGCAAGAAGCUGAUUCUGAAAGGCAAGGCCUCACCAAGUUAUUUCCAUGGCUAUCUAAACCUGGAAAUAAACCAUCAAGCCCUGAUGAUUUCCGAGGAUUGAUGGGUUAUCACACAUUAAGCUAACUUAGUAGCUCUUGCAAGAGCCCUAUUGCUCGCUAGUGAGGAGCUUAUUUUUUGGAGUUCGGCUGGCGCAUGAGAACUGAGAAAGAAUAUAAAGUGCAACUAAAUCUGGGGAACUGUUGCCUGUAAUUUUAUGUACAUCAGCAAAUAUACUUGUCGAUAUUAUGUACGAAGUAUGCUGCAAAUUGCAACCGGUGGCCAUUGGGACUUUGAGAAGAAAGCUAUUACGAACUACACGAGGACAGUUUGCGAAUACAAAAUUCCAACAAUUUUCCUAGCUUAAGAGUCAGUUUGGAUACCAAGGGCUAAUCAGUUUCGUGCUUCAUAAUUUUGUUAGAAACACGACUCAAGUUUCGUCACAUACCCUGUAAAGCUAGUGGCGCUCCUGCUUCUUUACACAGACCAAUCAUUCCUCUGAUUCUUCCCAACUAGAAGUCUGGAUGUGCAACGCUGUGCAAGUUUACAAAUGCAGUGUCAAGUGCGGCGCAUGGGAACUGAAUCUGCAGCGAAUGUGCAAGAAAUACACGGCAUCAUAUUUCACAGUUCACACCGAGCAACAUUUAAUUUCUUUUUCCUGUUAACUUACACUACCGCUGUCUGUAUUUUCAUUGAAUUACUGUCAAGAACAAACUGCAACUCUAGCAGUUUGAGAUGUGAAACCACCCGAUCUGUAAACAUGUUGACAGAAACCUAGAACCCAAAACCAUGUUUUUAAAAACCAAUUAAAUCAAUAUUUACUCUGCUCAUUUAUGUGCCA